GAUUACAAACAGACAUGAGCCACUGCACCCAGUUAAAGUCUUAAAAUUUAUUUUAAAUAAUAUUCAUUAAUGUUCUCAGCUUUUUGCUUGUGGAAAUAAUUUUGCUUUAAACUAUAACAUAAUCACAAAGUCAUCACCAUUGAAAUCAGACUAGGAAACUAGUAUGGAAUGCACUGCACAAUACUCUGUCCUCUAAAGGGGUGAUCACCAUGAACUAUGGCACCCAGUGGCAGGAUGCUGUCAGCCCUUUAGAAGCCCUCAUAUUGGAAAACUGUUUUGCCUAAGGAUUAGAAAUGUGUUUAUUUUUAAAUAAGGUAAGACUGAUGUGACUCUUAUUAAGAAAAAACAGAUACUGCUAUUAAGCAAUACUUUCAUCUUCAUUAAUUCAUCCUUGUAAGCCCUUAUGCACUUCUGACAAUUAGAUACCCUUGGUAGGGUUAAGUAUGCCUUUGCCCUCCCUUACUUUCCCCUCCUCCCUCCACCCUCUAUCUCUGGGCUCUCUUAUUAUGGAGUUUCUCCAUAGUCAUAGAGAAAAAUAAAAAUAAUAAACCUCAUUUAUACUAAGGUCCUACGGACUUAGUGCAUUACUCUUCCCAGGAAUACCUAGAUUUUAAGAGAUGCGAGUACAGCAGACAUGGGAUGGGAGAAGAAAGAUUUUUGGGGAUAGGAUGUAUAGCAGCCUCAAAUUAUAUUGCUGUUCUCUAGCUCCAAUAUUCCCAGGAAAAUUGACCAUUAAAGCAAUUAAAGCUCACUGACCUGCUAGUUCAUUUUGGUCAGCUGAGUGCCUUCAGGAUAUUUAGCCAUUGUGCAGUUUUGGAAGCAGAGAACUAAAGCAACAGUACUUCCUCUUGACAGCUUCCAUUGGAACUGGGCUAUUAGAUCAUUCACCUUUGUCCUAUAUUUACUGUAGGACACUUGGUGCACGUAACACCACUUAUAAUGAGCGCCCCUGGUUCUUACGUUUUGGGGUGUGUGGGUAGAAUUCUUUCUUGUUACUUAUGCAUAUGCAGUAACUGCAGCAGCAGCAGCCCUAGAAAGUGAGCCCAGGGCUUCACAUCUAACUUAGUCCAAAAGCUAAAUGAUUUAAUGUCAAGUUUUAAUGCUAGGUACAAAAACUCUGAAAUACAUUAAAUUUCAGCCCAAGCAAUUAAGAAAUGUUUCUGAAACAUUAAACUUGUAUUUAUGUUACUAAAAUUCUAACACAAAUUUUAAAAACGUGUCUCAUACAUAUGCUGUACUAAGCUUCAUGAUGCAUUUCUAAAUUUGUGUAUGAUUUGAAUAUAUGAAAGAAUUUAUACAAGAGUGUUAUUUAAAAUUAUUAAAAAUAAAUGUAUAUAAUUUGUACCUAU